AUGUUAUGCAACAGAGAAUGUGAAGUUCAAAAAAAUGAGGAUCCUUCACAACUUCACUAGAGGAGAUAGUUGCAGCCUCUAGAACAGCAUCUGAAGCUACGGUCAAAGUUGCAAUGGCUGCAGCUCUGAAGAAGGCAGUAAUAGUGAGUGACCAAAGUUGUCCGCUACAAAGAAAGCGUUAAGAAAGUAUAGAAGAAACUACAUCUUCAAUUUUAGUUGUCGUGGACUCUGGUUGUGGUUAAUUGUCAUCAGUGGAUUGUUUUGCUAG
rnacentral:lncRNA from 1 species